UACGUAGGUGGCAAGCGUUGUCCGGAUUUAUUGGGCGUAAAGCGUGCGCAGGCGGUUGUGUAAGACAGAUGUGAAAUCCCCGGGCUCAACCUGGGAACUGCAUUUGUGACUGCACAGCUGGAGUGCGGCAGAGGGAGAUGGAAUUCCGCGUGUAGCAGUGAAAUGCGUAGAUAUGCGGAGGAACACCGAUGGCGAAGGCAAGCCCCUGGGCCUGCACUGACGCUCAUGCACGAAAGCGUGGGGAGCAAACAGG
rnacentral:rRNA from 1 species